UGUAAACAUCCUUGACUGGAAGCUGUGAGGUGUCAGCGGGGGCUUUCAGUCGGAUGUUUACA
rnacentral:pre_miRNA from 7 species